rnacentral:snoRNA from 2 species
AUGCAUUUUGUAUAUCGUAGAUCUCUCUUAUAAUAUAGAACGAUCUUGAACCAAAGUGCAUAGAUUAAGAGCUGUUAAAUCAGCAAGCAGCCAGACAACUGCUGUGAUGGAUCCACAGAUUAACGGCCUAUUAAUGCUGUUUGUCUACUAAUUCCAUCUUACAUUU